AGAUUGAACGUUGGCGGCACGCUUUAGACAUGCAAGUCGAACGAGAAAGCACUUCGGUGUGAGUAAAGUGGCGGACGGGUGAGUAACGCGUAGGAAUCUACCUAGUAGUGGGGGACAACUCGGGGAAACUCGAGCUAAUACCGCAUACGCUCUUAGGAGGAAAGUGGGGGAUCUUCGGACCUCACGCUAUCAGAGGAGCCUGCGUUAGAUUAGCUAGUUGGUGAGGUAAAGGCUCACCAAGGCGACGAUCUAUAGCUGGUCUGAGAGGACGAUCAGCCACACUGGAACUGAGACACGGUCCAGACUUCUACGGAAGGCAGCAGUCAGGAAUAUUGGGCAAUGGGCGAAAGCCUGACCCAGCGAUGCCGCGUGUGUGAAGAAGGCCCUAGGGUUGUAAAGCACUUUCAGUCGUGAAGAAAAGCAUUGGGUUAAUACCCCGACGUGUUGACGUUAACGACAGAAGAAGUACCGGCUAACUCCGUGCCAGCAGCCGCGGUAAUACGGAGGGUACGAACGUUAAUCGGAAUUACUGGGCGUAAAGCGCGCGUAGGCGGUUUGAUAAGUGGGAUGUGAAAGCCCCGGGCUCAACCUGGGAACUGCAUUCCAAACUGUCAGACUAGAGUGUGGUAGAGGGAGGUAGAAUUUCCUGUGUAGCGGUGAAAUGCGUAGAUACAGGAAGGAAUACCGAUGGCGAAGGCAGCCUCCUGGACCAACACUGACGCUGAGGUGCGAAAGCGUGGGGAGCAAACAGGAUUAGAUACCCUGGUAGUCCACGCCGUAAACGAUGAGAACUAGCCGUUGGGGCCUUUAAGGCUUUGGUGGCGCAGCUAACGCGAUAAGUUCUCCGCCUGGGGAGUACGGCCGCAAGGUUAAAACUCAAAUGAAUUGACGGGGGCCCGCACAAGCGGUGGAGC
rnacentral:rRNA from 1 species